UUAAAUUGUACCUUGACUUUUAAAUAUUAGUAUUUAUCGAGUCUAUAUUACAGUGUAUUAGUACAUUACGAUGUAAACCCAUAGCAAGAUUUAAAUUUUCAAGUUAAAGUGGUUGUAAACCAAAGACAUGGAAUAUGCACAAAUCAUCCCCCUAUUGUGCUCUAUAGUGCUUACUUGGCUCGAUUCAGAGCACAAAGGCAGGCCAUUCCCGCCAGGAGAAGACGGUGAUUAUUACUAGCAGCUAUAUCAGCUGCUAGAGAUAAUUGUAUGUAAAAUCUGUCAGGCUGGUUGUACCCAAGUUGAUCAAUUGAUCAACUUGGUACAUUCAGCUUACCUAAUAUGGUUUGACUUUUGUCUGGUUCCUGCUAAACCGGCCGAGAUUCGAACCAUUUAUGGCUGGCCUAAGUGUCAUUUCUGUCUACUGCUUUUCUUCUCUGAUAUCUGCAUGAGACACCUCUGACAAGUUUUUCUGACACCAAGAGAAAAAUGGUGACAGGGGAUGGAUCUCCAGCUGAUUGAUAGCUUCAACUCUGUUUCUGUGUGCUGCAUAAAGGGGGUGGCCUUUCCCUUCCAAUUAGCUGUCAGAACUCUCUUCACUGAGCUCUGAAGAGUGUACUUUCCAAUAACCACCCCCUGUUUUCUGGCAGCUCAGACAGACUUUAUAAAUUCUGGACUUUGAACAGAUGUAGAGAAGCGAAGACUGCAGAUAAACAUGCAUAAUAAGGCACCUGCCGGAAAAGUUAGGAACGAGGGUUGGGAUUUGAUUAAGCAGCAUCUCACUUCUGAGAAAAGAUUCGCUUUACCGCUGCAUCAGAAGCUGUAUUUAUAUAUUAAAAAGCUACUUGGUGAGAAAAUAUAAUGUACCUUCAUCCUAUUACUAGAUAAGAAGCUGCAUUUAUUAUAUAAUAAGGCUGUGAUUUUAACUUUCCAAACAUAGACGAACAUAAAAUAUUGGCAAAAAGGGUUAGAAAGUCAGAACCCAAAAAUUUGAAAAAAACAAAACCUUUUAAUUUUUGUCAUUAAAAUUAGAUUCAGAUUAUCUUUUCCGAUAAGAAAAUCUUACAUCAAAAGCAUAUAAAGCCCCACCUACAGAAUAGCUAAAAUAUGUGUAUACAAUAUAUAAUAUCUAUAAUAGCUCUGAACUUUAUAAAGAAAUCCAUCAUGCGGCAUCAUGUGGCAAACCUGUUAUCCUGUCCAAUACCUACUUCAGCCUCAGUAAAGAGUGGAAGCUGGAUUAACAAAACAUACGCGACAGAGCAGCGUCUAUGGAUGUUUUAAUUCUCCAACAUAUGGCUAUAUACUGAUUCGGGUAUGGUGAAACACCUAUUCAGCUUAUUUGCUUGUAGGAAGCUAUUGGGACAGAUACUUAUCCCAGUCAGUAAAGUAUUGUAAAGACAGAUUUCUUUCAAAACUCACAACUGGAAUUCAUAUUAUAUUUGUUAGAACAUUAUUAAAUGCACUUUAAAUAAAACUAGCUCGAACCUGAAUCUAUCUUUA